rnacentral:rRNA from 1 species
ACGCUCGACACCUAUGGGAGGCAGCAGGUUGGGAAUAUUGGACAAUGGGAGGAAACUCUGAUCCAGUGACGCCGCGUGAAGGAAGAAGGUCUUCGGAUUGUAAACUUAUUUUGUCAGGGAAGAAAAAAUGACUGUACCUGAAGAAAAAGCACCGGCUAACUACGUGCCAGAAGCCGCGGUAAUCUGAGCGGGCUGGCAAGGC